UAAUUUAAGCUAGUUAUGAACAAGUAAGGAUAGUCUUGGUCUUAAUAAUAUACAUAUUAUUCUUGAGGGGCCAAAUGUGUAAAGUGGCAAAACUUAAAACAUUAAAAGUAUAAAAAAAUUAAAAACACACAUAGAGUGUGCGUGUGUGUAUAUACGAUCGAUCAGGGACAGAGGGUGAGGUGAAACCCUAGUUUCACCAAAAUCCAUCAAAUUGAAGGGGGAUAGAAGGGCUAAACUAAUGCAUGAACCAAGAUUUUCGAUCACUUUAGCGUUUCUACCAUCAUGAACGUGUCAAGGAGAGGUCAAGCAUAGGAGGAUAACGGGUCAAGAUAAGGCAAGGUGACAAAUACACUUAUUGGAGUACUCGAGGUAAGUGAAUUUCGAUUCACUUUUUAGUAGGUUUAGUAGAUUUUAAUACUUAUGUUUAUGAAACAUCAUGAAAGAACAUGUAAUAAUCAGAAGUACAAAGCCAAUAAUGCCUCAUUAUUGAAGAAGGUUGUAUUUAAGCCGAAAGUAAAUUGGUGGGUUUAAACGGGUCGAAUUUUAUGUGCAUAUGUUGCGUAAUGUAAUGAAAUUCGUUAUGGUUAAGACCUUGGGUAAGAAAUUUUAGUCAUUAUGUAAGGGGAACAUUUCCCGGACCAUUAGGAACAAGUUUUAUAUGAUUCGGUUGUCGGUUAGUGAAUGAACGGAUUGUUUCGUGUUUGUGUAGGAAAUUUUAUAAGUAUAUGUGUAUAGGAAUCCAAAGGGCACGUGGGUUGAAUCAUAGAUUGUCUAUACUAUGUAAAGUUGUGAAUGUGACAUUCCGGCAUAAACCUACAUGUAAAAGAAGCUUGUGUAUAUAUUCGUGAUUAAUUGAUUGUGCGUAGGAAGGAACAUUGGCAUGUAUGAAGGUACGCAUGUAUAUAUAUAAGUGUAUAUAUAUAUGUAUGUAUGUAUGAUAAUAUUACAUUUUGGAAUGUGUAAUUUGGGCGUUACAAGUUGGUAUCAGAGCCCUGGUUUGAGGGAAAUCAAGUAUGAGGAGGCAAAUACUUGAACUCAAACCUGUGUGCUCUUGUGACGAGGAACCCGUACAAUCCAAGACUCGAUCAAGAUCUAAAGGUAGAAGCAAAUGUAAGUAUGAAUUUAAGUAUGUUUAUGAAGAAACUAACAUUAUGUUGUGUGUAAGAUAAGCAUAGUUGUUUGGAUGAGGAUGAUCCACGACUGUGGUCUCGGACUGACACCAAGGCAUGUAAUAAGACCAUUGCCCAGGUCAGUGAAAGAAUGUUCAUAAGCGAAAGCUCGUCACACGGAUGAACGAGGUCAAUACGAAACAUGGUAUGGAUGGGGACGAAGAGGACCGACUCGUUGCUGCAUGUUCAAGUACUGCACCAAGGUAGUAAGGUUAGCAAAUUAUUUAAUAUAUGAAGGUACGAUGCUCGAAUCCCUCAAACCUACGCUCUCGUGAAAGUGUAUUCGUUUCUAAGCGCCACGCAAGUAAGUGAUUUAAGGAUUUCGAGCUAUGCUUUUAGAUGAAAACGGAAAUGGGUUAUGGAUAAAUUACUAUUAUAACCUGGGUUGGGACGUUAUGGGAUGUUAGGGAAGGUUUCGGGACUGCCCGAGACCAUUUCUGGUUGGAAAAAGGACCCGGGAACAAAAAAAUUUUGGUCAAACAGCGUCUGCACACCAGAGAGCCCGUCGGCGAUGGCCUUUAUGCCGUCGGCGACGGCACCCCUCCACCUGACGCGCUAACUGUCUGUCUACGGGCAAUGUUUAGCGACGGGACCUUCCCGAGCCCGUCGGCGACGCACCAUGUGCCGUCGGCGACGGGUCCCCCUUAUCUGCUUAUGCUGAAAUUGUUUGUUUAUUAGGCUAAGGUCCUUAAUUCAGUUCUAGCAUUCAUUAAACUUUAGGAACACCCCAAGUUGAUUAUGAAGCUAAGAAAUUCAAGACAACUAUCAUGUUUUAAUGAUGUAUGUGCGGGAAGUUAUGUAUGCGAAUGAAUGAAAUAAGUAACACGUCUAGAAGGUUUGUAAAGAAAGAUUGGAUGAGUUUAUGAAAAUUUUACACUAUUAUUGAAAAAGUACCUCCAUAUGAAUAGGUAUGAUAUGUUUAAUAUGUACGAAUGAACGAGAUUGUAUGCGGAAAUGAAUAAAUUAAUGAUGACUAGGGAUUGGUUUUCGCAAGGAAGUUUGAAAUCUUGAUAAGUAUUAAUAAUAUAUCAGGAUGCUAGUUUCAAAUUAUGGACUAUGGGAUCUGUGAUUAGGCAAAUUCUCACAACAUGCUUAUGUAAGUCGUCCAAUGUACCUUGAAUGAGUGAGGGAACGAAGAAUAAAACUAGACGGGUUGUAGAAGAAAAGAAAGAGGUUUCGGGGACGAAACUUUCUUUAAGGGGGGUAGAUUUGUAACAACCCAAAUUCCAUGAGAAAUUUAAUUUAAGCUAGUUAUGAACAAGUAAGGAUAGUCUUGGUCUUAAUAAUAUACAUAUUAUUCUUGAGGGGCCAAAUGUGUAAAGUGGCAAAACUUAAAACAUUAAAAGUAUAAAAAAAUUAAAAACACACAUAGAGUGUGCGUGUGUGUAUAUACGAUCGAUCAGGGACAGAGGGUGAGGUGAAACCCUAGUUUCACCAAAAUCCAUCAAAUUGAAGGGGGAUAGAAGGGCUAAACUAAUGCAUGAACCAAGAUUUUCGAUCACUUUAGCGUUUCUACCAUCAUGAACAUGUCAAGGAGAGGUCAAGCAUAGGAGGAUAACGGGUCAAGAUAAGGCAAGGUGACAAAUACACUUAUUGGAGUACUCGAGGUAAGUGAAUUUCGAUUCACUUUUUAGUAGGUUUAAUAGAUUUUAAUACUUAUGUUUACGAAACAUCAUGAAAGAACAUGUAAUAAUCAGAAGUACAAAGCCAAUAAUGCCUCAUUAUUGAAGAAGGUUGUAUUUAAGCCGAAAGUAAAUUGGUGGGUUUAAACGGGUCUAAUUUUAUGUGCAUAUGUUGCGUAAUGUAAUGAAAUUCGUUAUGGUUAAGACCUUGGGUAAGAAUUUUUAGUCAUUAUGUAAGGGGAACAUUUCCCGGACAAUUAGGAACAAGUUUUAUAUGAUUCGGUUGUCGGUUAGUGAAUGAACGGAUUGUUUCGUGUUUGUGUAGGAAAUUUUAUAAGUAUAUGUAUAUAGGAAUCCAAAGGGCACGUGGGUUGAAUCAUAGAUUGUCUAUACUAUGUAAAGUUGUGAAUGUGACAUUCCGGCAUAAACCUACAUGUAAAAGAAGCUUGUGUAUAUAUUCGUGAUUAAUUGAUUGUGCGUAGGAAGGAACAUUGGCAUGUAUGAAGGUACGCAUGUAUAUAUAUAAGUGUAUAUAUAUAUGUAUGUAUGUAUGUAUGAUAAUAUUACAUUUUGGAAUGUGUAAUUUGGGCGUUACAUAUUCACACCUCGAAAAACUUAUUCUUGCACUAAUUAUGGCAUCUACUAAACUAAGACAUUAUUUUG